AUUGUCCGAAUAAUCGGCCGACUUAGGUAAUUCACCCAAUUUGAACGAGCUCAAAUUAUUUUUAACCAAACAGACAAAAAAAUUAUUGAACUGAUGGAUGUUUCCUCACACAGAAGAAACCAAUCCGCCACCACCUCCAUCGCCUCGCCGCCGUCACAUUGCUCAAAUUCGGCGGCUGUUUAUCACUUCAAAUCUUACUAAUCGGCAGUCAAAAGUCUUCCCCUUGAACGAAAGCGGCAAACUUUGAGAAAGACUGACCUUGAUUUUGGUCUUUUGGAACCAAACCCAUUUGUCUCUCUCGAAGGGAAAAAAAAAUGGAGGACUUCUUUGGGGAUUCUAUUGUUGGGUCUCAUCUUUCUUGACAAACCCCAUUGGAAUUUUGAUAAAUAUAUCUAAAACGAUUCAGAAAUCCCAACAUAACUCAAAACUCCAUAAUGGGUAUGCAUAGGAUUCUACAUUUUUAAGAAAAUAAUUGUAUCUCUCUUAAUACGCAGAAGAUUCAGAGCUCACUGACGGCUAAACAAUCACUACUUCUAGUUCUUUAGUCUCGCAGCUGGUUGGAGUCAUGAAGAAGCUUAUGGACAACGUAUAGAGGUGAAGUGGUGUGAAGAAAGGAAGUGCACUAACUUUCAAAAUGUGAGGGUUAUCUAGCCAGGAUAGUAGUGCUUCUCUUUCAAGAAACAUUUUGAGGCAUUAGCUACUUUACUGAGAUGUGAUGUGAAGAGUAUUGGAGUAACCAAAUAUGCUGAUGAUGCUUUCUUCAAUAUAUUUUAUGCUUACUUACUGUUCACAAUAGCAAAUAGCAUCUUUGCCUUUGUCUUUACACCCUUACAUUUUUCUGCUUAUACAUUGCAGCAGAAAGAGCUACAGUUUGACAUCUUUGAAGCCUAUCUGCCUGUCUUCUCCUUGCUAUAGUUUAUGAUCCCUUAAAAUCUCAUGUUUCAAUAAUGGUGAAAUUUCUUCCUGGUUUAUUAGGCUUCCUAGAAUCAUAAACAAUGAUAAAUACCUUGAUAUCCGGGUUGCAAUAUACUGUUAACAAUCUUAAACCUGUCAUCCAAUCAACUUUUCUCCCAAUACACUUCAAGACAGAGCAGUCGAUCAAUGAUUAUAUAAGCUUCUUGUGCAAGCAAAACCUUUUCAAACAAGCUCUUGAUGCGUUUGACUUCUUGCAAAAACAUACAAGUUUUCAUGUGAAGCCCAGCACUUAUGCCCAGCUGAUAUCUGCCUGCUCGUCUUUGAGAUCUGUAGAUCAAGGAAGAAAAAUCCAUAACCAUAUCCUUAUACACAGCUGUCAGCCCGACAUGAUUCUUCAAAAUCAUCUUCUCAAUAUGUAUGGGAAAUGUGGUGCCUUGAAGGAUGCUCAAAGGGUUUUCGAUGAAAUGCCAAAGAGAAAUGUGGUUUCUUGGACUUCUGUAAUUGCUGGAUACUCACAGCAUGGUCAAGAAAUUGAUGCAAUAAAGCUGUAUUUUCUAAUGCAAAAAUCUGGCCUUAUGCCAGAUCAGUUCACCUUUGGAAGCAUAAUAAGAUCUUGCUCAAGUUUGAGUUCCAUUGAGCUAGGGAGGCAGUUGCAUGUUCAUGUCAUUAAAUCAGAAUUUGGUUCCCACCUUAUUGCACAAAAUGCUUUGAUUGCAAUGUACACAAAAUUUGGUCAAAUUGCUGAUGCAUUGGAUGUGUUUUCUGGUAUUAAAAAAAAGGAUUUAAUUUCAUGGAGUUCAAUGAUUGCGGGCUUUUCACAACUUGGUUACGAGUUAGAAGCAUUGAGCCAUUUUAAAGAAAUGCUGUCUCAAGGUGUUUAUCAGCCAAAUGAAUUUGUUUUUGGUAGUGCUUUUAGUGCUUGUGGCAGUCUCCUGCAACCAGAAUGUGGGAGGCAGAUACAUGGGAUGAUUACAAAAUUUGGGCUAGGGAGAGACACUUUUGCAGUUUGCUCGCUUAGUGAUAUGUAUGCAAAAUGUGGUCUAUUGGAUUUUGCAAAAACAGCUUUCUAUCAGAUAGAGAGGCCUGAUUUAGUCUCUUGGAAUGCAAUCAUUGCAGGGUUUGCAUAUGGUGGUGAUGCAGACGAAGCCAUGCUGUUUUUUUCUCAGAUGAGGCAUCUGGCAUUGAGCCCAGAUGAUAUCACAGUUCGCUCCCUGCUUUGUGCCUGCACAGGUCCAGUUAACCUAAAUCAAGGCAUGCAGAUACACUCAUACCUUAUCAAAGUGGGUUUUGAUUUAGGUAUAGCAGUGUGUAACACUUUACUUUCAAUGUAUGCAAAGUGUUCAGAUCUUUAUGAUACAUUUAAAAUGUUCAACGAGAUGACAAGCAAUGCAGAUUCCGUUUCUUGGAAUACUGUUCUUGCUGCAUGUAUGCAGCACAACCAAGCUGGGGAGGUUUUCUCAUUAUUAAAAAUGAUGCUUCCAUCUCAAAAUAAGCCUGACCAUAUUACUUUAGUCAGUGUACUGGGAGCUUGUCGAGAAAUAGCCUCUCUAGAAAUGGGGGAUCAAGUUCAUUGCUAUGCUAUGAAAACUGGGCUCAGGCUCGAUAACUCCGUCACAAAUGGACUGAUUGACAUGUAUAUGAAAUGUGGCUCUCUACGAAAUUCUCAAAAGCUCUUUGAUUCCAUUGAGAGUCCUCAUGUUGUCUCCUGGAGUAGUUUGAUUGUGGGUUAUGCUCAGUUUGGACAUGGACAAGAAGCUCUUAAACUCUUUGGGAAAAUGAGAAGUUUAGGUGUCAAGCCAAAUCAAGUGACAUUUGUUGGGGUUCUAACUGCUUGCAGUCAUGUUGGCCUGGUAGAAGAAGGUUUACAAUUGUACCGUACCAUGGAAAUGGAUCACGGGGUUGUACAUUCUAGAGAACACUGCUCAUGUGUGGUCGACUUGCUUGCUCGUGCUGGACGUAUAAAUGAAGCAGAAGAUUUUAUCAAUCAAUUGCCAUUUGAUCCUGAUAUUGUCAUGUGGAAGACUCUGCUAGCUGCUUGUAAGAACCAUAAUAAUGUUGAGGUUGGAAAACGUGCUGCUGAAAAUAUUCUGAAAAUUGAUCCAUUCAACUCUGCUGCUCAUGUAUUACUUUGCAACAUAUAUGCAUCUGACAGCAGUUGGGAAGAUGUUGCUAGAGUACGGAGUUUGAUGAAAAAAAGGAAUGUCAAGAAAGUUCCCGGUCAGAGUUGGAUUGAAGUUAAAGACAACAUCCAUGUUUUCUUGGCAGAAGAUAGUUUGCAUUCAGAAAGGGACAAAAUAUACUCGAUGCUAGAGGAAUUGUGGUUGCAGAUGCUGGAUGCUGGUUAUGUUCCGUUCAAAGAUAAGCUUCAUGAGUGAACUAUUGGUGGGGUUAAAUUAGUGAUGACGCGAUCUUCAGGUUCAACAUCAUGCCCAAUCUUCAGAAAGUUCUAGUUUGAUCUUGGAUUUGCUAGAUUGAUCAUGUCUGAAGUCUGUGGAGAUCAUUGGUCUCUUGGCCAUACCCCAGUUUCAGGAGGAGAAGGGAUUUGCAUUGGCGGUCAGACAUUGAGAGUCAUUUGUGCCCCAGGGCAUACAGAUGGCCACAUGGCGUUACUUCAUGUCAGUGCUCACUCGUUGAUUGUAGGUGAUCAUUGUGUGGUUGGUCAUUGGCAUUCUUCUGGACAUGAAGAUUGUUACCAUCAAGAUGUUUGCUAAAAAGAGUUGAUGUUGGUGAUUCCUAAUAGAUUCACAGAGAGCGAGAGAUUAUUUGUUUCUCCAGAUUGCAAGGAAAGACGGAAAAGAUUUGAAGAGUUCCCUCUUGGCCCACCAUUUCCUUUCCACCCAAGCCAAGAUGGAAGCCAAGCAAGCCCACUUUGGCUCUGUCUGGAGUACUCAAAAGAGAAGGGUGAUGUUGAGGAAGUUGAUGAAUUUUCAAGGUUACAGACAGAGCUCGUUCGAAUUAAAGGAUUUGAUGAGAAAAGAAAGAAAAUGGAGAGAGAGAUGUGCAAUUUUUUAGGGCUUAUAUUGGUAAUAAUAGUUUAUUUUUUAAUUUUAUAUGUUCAUGUAGUAUUUAUCUUUUCAGCGGUGCUAGAGGCCUCGAAUUCGAGGGCUCGAAUUUGCUUUGACAACAAUUUAUUUAUUUGUUUAUUUGUUUAUUUU